rnacentral:rRNA from 1 species
UACGGAGGGGGCGAGCGUUGUCCGAAGUUACUGGGCGUAAAGCGCGCGUAGGCGGGUUCUUAAGUCUGCUGUGAAAGCCCGAAGCUCAACUUCGGAGGGUCGGUGGAUACUGAGAGCCUUGAAGGUGCUAGGGAGAAGUGGAAUUACCGGUGUAGCGGUGAAAUGCGUAGAGCUCGGUAGGAACACCAGUGGCGAAGGCGGCUUCUUGGGGCACUCUUGACGCUGAGGCGCGAAAGCUGGGGGAGCGAACGGG